GUCAGCGUGGUGUAGUGGUUUGAGCGUUGGACUAGGAUUCUGGAGACCAGGGUUUGAAUCCCAAUUCUGCCA